CGAUUUGGUGGCGUUCGCGGUUGUAGA
rnacentral:sRNA from 1 species